CAUAUCAAUAAGCGGAGGAAAAGAAACUAACAAGGAUUCCCCUAGUAACUGCGAGUGAAGCGGGAAAAGCUCAAAUUUAAAAUCUGGCGGUCUUUCGGCUGUCCGAGUUGUAAUCUAGAGAAGUGUUAUCCGCGCUGGACCGUGUACAAGUCUCCUGGAAUGGAGCAUCAUAGAGGGUGAGAAUCCCGUCUUUGACAUGGACUGCCAGGGCUUUGUGAUGCGCUCUCAAAGAGUCGAGUUGUUUGGGAAUGCAGCUCAAAAUGGGUGGUAAAUUCCAUCUAAAGCUAAAUAUUGGCGAGAGACCGAUAGCGAACAAGUACCGUGAGGGAAAGAUGAAAAGAACUUUGGAAAGAGAGUUAAACAGUACGUGAAAUUGCUGAAAGGGAAACGCUUGAAGUCAGUCGCGUCGUCCAGGGAUCAACCUUGCUUUUGCUUGGUGCACUUUCUGGUUUGACGGGUCAGCAUCAAUUUUGACUAUUGGAAAAAGGCUAGGGGAAUGUGGCAUCUUUGGAUGUGUUAUAGCCCUUGGUCACAUACAAUGGUUGGGAUUGAGGAACUCAGYGCGCCGCAAGGCCGGGUUUUAAAUUUUAAACCACGUACGUGCUUAGGAUGCUGGCAAUAUGGCUUUAAUCGACCCGUCUUGAAACACGGACCAAGGAGUCUAACAUGCCUGCGAGUGUUUGGGUGGAAAACCCGAGCGCGUAAUGAAAGUGAAAAGUUGAGAUCCCUGUCGUGGGGAGCAUCGACGCCCGGACCAGACCUUUUGUGACGGUUCCGCGGUAGAGCAUGUAUGUUGGGACCCGAAAGAUGGUGAACUAUGCCUGAAUAGGGUGAAUCCAGAGGAAACUCUGGUGGAGGCUCGUAGCGAUUCUGACGUGCAAAUCGAUCGUCAAAUUUGGGUAUAGGGGCGA
rnacentral:rRNA from 1 species